GUGCUCACUUCAGCAGCACAUAUACUAAAGUUGGAAUGACACAGAGAAGAUUAGCAUGGUCCCUGUGCAAGGAUGACGUGCAAAUUCAUGAAGUUUUAGAAACUAAA
rnacentral:snRNA from 1 species